GUGAAUCAUCGAAUUUUUGAACGCAAAUUGCACUCUCCUCGGAGAGUAUGCCUGUUUGAGGGUCAGCCUAUAAAAAAUCGACAUCGUUGCUGUUUCGCGGUGGCGUUCGUCGGAAAUUGGGUCAUCUUAAAUCUUUUGGUUUUAAGCGACUUAAAUUUUUUUUUUGGUUUCAUUGACGUUUCUAAGAUUUUUUUUUUUUCCCGUUUUAGGUA
rnacentral:misc_RNA from 1 species